rnacentral:lncRNA from 1 species
AACAGUGCACAGACAAUCUUCCCACUACAUAAUCAACGUGAGAGCUCCAAGACAAAUUAGAAUCCAGUAGAAGACAGUUUGCUUUUUGUACUACAUGAAAAAAAUUAUUGGAAUUUAGUGCAACUGUGGUAUCGUCAGCAAAUUGAGUGACAUAACAGCCUGAUUGCUGUUCCACGUUUUCUACUCGAACGCUUAUUGCAUCAGAAAAAUUAUUUAAUGGAUUCCGAGCCAAACAUGUUGAGCUAUCGUUUAUCAGUUGAUUUAAAUCAUUGACAAAAAUCAAAAAUAAAAGAGGGCCAAUGAUACUUCCCUGUGGAACUCCGGAGAGGACACUUUCUUCUGAAGAAAAUAUUAUAUUCCCAUUCACAUUGACCUUAACCUUUUGAAACCUUUUCGAUUAAAAGGGUGUGGAUCCACUUUAACGCAGUACCUCUAACACCACUAUGAUAAAGUUUUUCCAGCAGUAUUGGAUGAUUUACAGUUUCAAAAGCUCGUGCUAAGUCAAAAAACAAA